CCCAGACUCCUACGGGAGGCAGCAGUGGGGGAUAUUGCACAAUGGGGGGAACCCUGAUGCAGCGACGCCGCGUGGGUGAAGGAGCGUUUCGGCGCGUAAAGCCCUAUCGGCAGGGAAGAAGGAGGACGGUACCUGACUAAGAAGCCCCGGCUAACUACGUGCCAGCAGCCGCGGUAAUACGUAGGGGGCAAGCGUUAUCCGGAUUUACUGGGUGUAAAGGGGGCGCAGACGGCAGCGCAAGCCAGGAGUGAAAGCCCGGGGCCCAACCCCGGGACUGCUCUUGGAACUGCGCGGCUGGAGUGCAGGAGGGGCAGGCGGAAUUCCUGGUGUAGCGGUGAAAUGCGUAGAUAUCAGGAGGAACACCGGUGGCGAAGGCGGCCUGCUGGACUGCGACUGACGUUGAGGCCCGAAAGCGUGGGGAGCAAACAGGAUUAGAUACCCCUGUAGAA
rnacentral:rRNA from 1 species